UGUGGUGAUCCUAUGCUGCCGAGAAAAGCCUCGACGUGAGGGCAUGACGCGCCCGUACCCUAAACCGACUCAGGUGGUCAGGUAGAGUAUACCGAGGCGUUCGAGUGAAUCGUGGUUAAGGAACUCGGCAAAAUUCCUCCGUAACUUCGGGAUAAGGAGGACCCCGUGACUUCCCCGCGCCAUUGCGCGCGGUGUGGGGUUGUGGGGUCGCAGAGAAUAGGGAGAAGCGACUGUUUAUCAAAAACACAGGACUCUGCUAAAUCGAAAGAUGCUGUA
rnacentral:rRNA from 1 species